AGCUCCGGUGGCCUAAUUGUUAGAGCGUCCGCCUUGGAAGAGGAAGAUUGCGAGUUCGAACCCCGGCCGGGUGA